AAUGAACGCUGGCGGCAUGCCUAACACAUGCAAGUCGAACGAGACCUUCGGGUCUAGUGGCGCACGGGUGCGUAACGCGUGGGAAUCUACCCUUGGGUUCGGAAUAACUCGCCGAAAGGCGUGCUAAUACCGGAUAAUGACGUAAGUCCAAAGAUUUAUCGCCCAAGGAUGAGCCCGCGUAGGAUUAGCUAGUUGGUGAGGUAAAAGCUCACCAAGGCGACGAUCCUUAGCUGGUCNGAGAGGAUGAUCAGCC
rnacentral:rRNA from 1 species